rnacentral:rRNA from 1 species
GACGAACGCUGGCGGCGUGCUUAACACAUGCAAGUCGAACGGAAAGGCCUGCUUUCCCUUGUGGAUUGCGGGUACUCGAGUGGCGAACGGGUGAGUAACACGUGAGUGAUCUGCCCCCAACUUGGGUAUAAGCCUGGGAAACUGGGUCUAAUUCCCGAUAGGACUGCAGGGUGGUGCCUGUGGUGGAAAACGAUUUUCUAGUGGUUGGGGAUGAGCUCGCGGCCUAUCAGCUUGUUGGUGGGGUAAUGGCCUACCAAGGCGGCGACGGGUAGCCGGCCUGAGAGGGUGGACGGCCACAUUGGGACUGAGAUACGGCCCAGACUCCUACGGGAGGCAGCAGUGGGGAAUAUUGCACAUUGGGCGGAAGCCUGAUGCAGCGACGCCGCGUGGGGGAUGACGGCCUUCGGGUUGUAAACUCCUUUCGACCGCGAGGAAGCCACCUGGUUGGAAGGGUGGUGACGGUAGUGGUAGAAGAAGCACCGGCUAACUACGUG